UUAGUGGCGACGGGUGAGUAACACGUGGGCAAUCUGCCCUGCACUCUGGGACAAGCCCUGGAAACGGGGUCUAAUACCGGAUACUGACCUGCUUGGGCAUCCAAGCGGUUCGAAAGCUCCGGCGGUGCAGGAUGAGCCCGCGGCCUAUCAGCUAGUUGGUGAGGUAAUGGCUCACCAAGGCGACGACGGGUAGCCGGCCUGAGAGGGCGACCGGCCACACUGGGACUGAGACACGGCCCAGACUCCUACGGGAGGCAGCAGUGGGGAAUAUUGCACAAUGGGCGAAAGCCUGAUGCAGCGACGCCGCGUGAGGGAUGACGGCCUUCGGGUUGUAAACCUCUUUCAGCAGGGAAGAAGCGAAAGUGACGGUACCUGCAGAAGAAGCGCCGGCUAACUACGUGCCAGCAGCCGCGGUAAUACGUAGGGCGCAAGCGUUGUCCGGAAUUAUUGGGCGUAAAGAGCUCGUAGGCGGCUUGUCACGUCGGUUGUGAAAGCCCGGGGCUUAACCCCGGGUCUGCAGUCGAUACGGGCAGGCUAGAGUUCGGUAGGGGAGAUCGGAAUUCCUGGUGUAGCGGUGAAAUGCGCAGAUAUCAGGAGGAACACCGGUGGCGAAGGCGGAUCUCUGGGCCGAUACUGACGCUGAGGAGCGAAAGCGUGGGGAGCGAACAGGAUUAGAUACCCUGGUAGUCCACGCCGUAAACGGUGGGCACUAGGUGUGGGCAACAUUCCACGUUGUCCGUGCCGCAGCUAACGCAUUAAGUGCCCCGCCUGGGGAGUACGGCCGCAAGGCUAAACUCAAAGGAAUUGACGG
rnacentral:rRNA from 1 species